GUGCCAGCCGCGCGGUAAUACCGGCAGCUCAAGUGAUGGCCGAUCUUAUUGGGCCUAAAGCGUCCGUAGCUGGCCUCGCAAGUCCGUCGGGAAAUCCAGUAGCCCAACUACUGGGCGUCCGGCGGAAACUACAAGGCUUGGGACCGGAAGGCUCGAGGGGUACGUCCGGGGUAGGAGUGAAAUCCUAUAAUCCCGCACGGACCACCGAUGGCGAAAGCACUUCGAGAAAACGGCUUCGACAGUGAGGGACGAAAGCUCGGGUCUCAAACCGGAUUAGAUACCCCUGUAGUCC
rnacentral:rRNA from 1 species